rnacentral:snoRNA from 1 species
AGCACUCAUUUCAAGCCGCAUGGGCACAAACGAGUUGUUCUGCGGUCGGGUGAUGUGCGAGAA